GUAUAACUGAAUUUACAGACACAGACCAACAAUCUGGAACAACAGCUUCUUCCCUGGUCUUUUAGAGAAAGCAAAUCCAUCAAUCAAGAAUGAACGAACACAAUCUAACAGUCUUUCAGAACGAUCAUCUCUGAGCCAGACAUUCACUUGGAACUCAAUGCAAACAUAACAUAACUGAAAUAUCUAUACUGCAGAGGAUCAAAUACAACAUAUACAACAAGAAGGCAGCUGAUUUGAUUUGAUUCUUGUUAUAGAGAAGUAAACUAAAAA